AACGAACGCUGGUGGCAGGCUUAACACAUGCAAGUCGAACGCCCCGCAAGGGGAGUGGCAGACGGGUGAGUAACGCGUGGGAACAUACCCUUUCCUGCGGAAUAGCUCUGGGAAACUGGAAUUAAUACCGCAUACGCCCUACGGGGGAAAGAUUUAUCGGGGAAGGAUUGGCCCGCGUUGGAUUAGCUAGUUGGUGGGGUAAAGGCCUACCAAGGCGACGAUCCAUAGCUGGUCUGAGAGGAUGAUCAGCCACAUUGGGACUGAGACACGGCCCAAACUCCUACGGGAGGCAGCAGUGGGAAUAUUGGACAAUGGGCGCAAGCCUGAUCCAGCCAUGCCGCGUGAGUGAUGAAGGCCUUAGGGUUGUAAAGCUCUUUCACCGAUGAAGAUAAUGACGGUAGUCGGAGAAGAAGCCCCGGCUAACUUCGUGCCAGCCGCCGCGGUAAGAC
rnacentral:rRNA from 1 species